AGUGAAGAAGGUUUUCGGAUCGUAAAACUCUGUUGUUAGAGAAGAACAAGUGGGAGAGUAACUGUUCUCACCUUGACGGUAUCUAACCAGAAAGCCACGGCUAACUACGUGCCAGCAGCCGCGGUAAUACGUAGGUGGCAAGCGUUGUCCGGAUUUAUUGGGCGUAAAGCGAGCGCAGGCGGUUUCUUAAGUCUGAUGUGAAAGCCCCCGGCUUAACCGGGGAGGGUCAUUGGAAACUGGGAGACUUGAGUGCAGAAGAGGAGAGUGGAAUUCCAUGUGUAGCGGUGAAAUGCGUAGAUAUAUGGAGAAACAC
rnacentral:rRNA from 1 species